AGUUUGAUCCUGGCUCAGAUUGAACGCUGGCGGCAGGCCUAACACAUGCAAGUCGAACGGUAGCACAGAGAGCUUGCUCUCGGGUGACGAGUGGCGGACGGGUGAGUAAUGUCUGGGAAACUGCCUGAUGGAGGGGGAUAACUACUGGAAACGGUAGCUAAUACCGCAUAACGUCGCAAGACCAAAGAGGGGGGCCUUCGGGCCUCUUGCCAUCAGAUGUGCCCAGAUGGGAUUAGCUAGUAGGUGGGGUAACGGCUCACCUAGGCGACGAUCCCUAGCUGGUCUGAGAGGAUGACCAGCCACACUGGAACUGAGACACGGUCCAGACUCCUACGGGAGGCAGCAGUGGGGAAUAUUGCACAAUGGGCGCAAGCCUGAUGCAGCCAUGCCGCGUGUAUGAAGAAGGCCUUCGGGUUGUAAAGUACUUUCAGCGGGGAGGAAGGUGUUGUGGUUAAUAACCACAGCAAUUGACGUUACCCGCAGAAGAAGCACCGGCUAACUCCGUGCCAGCAGCCGCGGUAAUACGGAGGGUGCAAGCGUUAAUCGGAAUUGCUGGGCGUAAAGCGCACGCAGGCGGUCUGUCAAGUCGGAUGUGAAAUCCCCGGGCUCAACCUGGGAACUGCAUUCGAAACUGGCAGGCUAGAGUCUUGUAGAGGGGGGUAGAAUUCCAGGUGUAGCGGUGAAAUGCGUAGAGAUCUGGAGGAAUACCGGUGGCGAAGGCGGCCCCCUGGACAAAGACUGACGCUCAGGUGCGAAAGCGUGGGGGAGCAAACAGGAUUAGAUACCCUGGUAGUCCACGCCGUAAACGAUGUCGACCUGGAGGUUGUGCCCUUGAGGCGUGGCUUCCGGAGCUAACGCGUUAAGUCGACCGCCUGGGGAGUACGGCCGCAAGGUUAAAACUCAAAUGAAUUGACGGGGGCCCGCACAAGCGGUGGAGCAUGUGGUUUAAUUCGAUGCAACGCGAAGAACCUUACCUACUCUUGACAUCCAGAGAACUUUCCAGAGAUGGAUUGGUGCCUUCGGGAACUCUGAGACAGGUGCUGCAUGGCUGUCGUCAGCUCGUGUUGUGAAAUGUUGGGCUAAGUCCCGCAACGAGCGCAACCCUUAUCCUUUGUUGCCAGCGGUUAGGCCGGGAACUCAAAGGAGACUGCCAGUGAUAAACUGGAGGAAGGUGGGGAUGACGUCAAGUCAUCAUGGCCCUUACGAGUAGGGCUACACACGUGCUACAAUGGCGCAUACAAAGAGAAGCGACCUCGCGAGAGCAAGCGGACCUCAUAAAGUGCGUCGUAGUCCGGAUUGGAGUCUGCAACUCGACUCCAUGAAGUCGGAAUCGCUAGUAAUCGUAGAUCAGAAUGCUACGGUGAAUACGUUCCCGGGCCUUGUACACACCGCCCGCCACACCAUGGGAGUGGGUUGCAAAAGAAGUAGGUAGCUUAACCUUCGGGAGGGCGCUUACCACUUUGUGAUUCAUGACUGGGGUGAAGUCGUAACAAGGUA
rnacentral:rRNA from 1 species